rnacentral:rRNA from 1 species
CCUACGGUGUGCAGCAGUGGGGAAUAUUGCACAAUGGGGGAAACCCUGAUGCAGCGACGCCGCGUGAGUGAAGAAGUAUUUCGGUAUGUAAAGCUCUAUCAGCAGGGAAGAAAAUGACGGUACCUGACUAAGAAGCCCCGGCUAACUACGUGCCAGCAGCCGCGGUAAUACGUAGGGGGCAAGCGUGAUCCGGAUGUACUGGGGGUAAAGGGAGCGUAGACGGCAGAGCAAGUCUGACGUGAAAGCCCGCGGCCCAACUGCGGGACUGCUUUGGAAACUGGCCGGCUAGAGUGCUGGAGAGGUAAGCGGAAUUCGUGGUGUAGCGGUGAAAUGCGUAGAUAUUAGGAGGAACCCCGGUGGCGAAGGCGGCUGACUGGACAGUAACUGACGUUGAGGCUCGAAAGCGUGGGGAGCAAACAGGAUUAGAUACCCGUGUAGUC